rnacentral:rRNA from 1 species
UACGUAGGGUGCGAGCGUUAAUCGGAAUUACUGGGCGUAAAGCGUGCGCAGGCGGGCUUUUAAGCCAGACGUGAAAUCCCCGGGCUUAACCUGGGAAUGGCGUUUGGGACUGGGAGUCUGGAGUGCGGCAGAGGAGACUGGAAUUCCUGGUGUAGCAGUGAAAUGCGUAGAUAUCAGGAGGAACACCGAUGGCGAAGGCAGGUCUCUGGGCUGAUACUGACGCUCAUGCACGAAAGCGUGGGGAGCAAACAGG